UACGGAGGAUGCGAGCGUUAUCCGGAUUCAUUGGGUUUAAAGGGUGCGUAGGCGGGCUUUUAAGUCAGCGGUAAAAAUUCGGGGCUCAACCCCGUCCGGCCGUUGAAACUGGGGGCCUUGAGUGGGCGAGAAGAAGGCGGAAUGCGUGGUGUAGCGGUGAAAUGCAUAGAUAUCACGCAGAACCCCGAUUGCGAAGGCAGCCUUCCGGCGCCCUACUGACGCUGAGGCACGAAAGUGCGGGGAUCGAACAGG
rnacentral:rRNA from 1 species